UCAAUAAUCAUACUAGUUAUAUUUUAUUAUUAUCAACAUAAUAAUAAAUAACCAGGGAUGAUAAUCAUUAUUAUGUAACAUGCAAACUAAUAAUAAUGAUAAAAACCUCUUUUAUUAAUAACCAAACGACAUACCAAAAAGGCCCAAGAUAAUGACCUAGGGCAUAUACACUAAGAGAUACAUCAAUACAUCAACAGUAGUUCCCACAGUUGUUGCCACCAAAGAAUCCCUUUCUCACUCCAACUAGUCUAUCUCUGCUGAAUUCUGGUUAGAGGUAUUGUUAUGUCAAUUUCCUCUCAAGCUUGAAAUUUUGAUCCACAAAUUAAACACCAGCAGUUACUUUUAAGAGAUACAUCAAUGCAUCAACAGUAAUUCUCACAGUUGUUGCAUUGAUGUAUCUCUUAAAAAUAACUGCUAGUGUUUAAUUUGUGGAUCAAAAUUUCAAGCUUGAGAGGAAAUUGACAUAACAAUACCUCUAACCAGAAUUCAACAGAGAUAGACUAAUUGGAGUGAGAAAGGGGUUAUUUGGUGGCAACAACUGUGAAAACUACUGUUGAUGCAUUGAUGUAUCUCUUAAAAGUAACUGCUGGUGUUUAAUUUGUGGAUAAAAAUUUCAAGCUUGAGAUGAAAUUGACAUAACAAUACCUCUAACCAGAAUUCAGCAGAGAUAGACUAGUUGAAGUGAGAAAGGGAUUCUUUGGUGGCAACAACUGUGAGAACUAGUGAGAAUUACUGUUGAUGCAUUGAUGUAUCUCUUAGUUGGGGAAGCUCUUCGUUGUAGAUUUUCAAAAAUAAAGCAGAAGCAAAGGAGUGUUUGUGGUUGCUAUUCAACUUUUUAACAAAAGCCUCAUAUAUAUAUAUGAUAGAUUUCAAUGAUGAUAAUGAGCUAUUGAAUUCAUUAGUCUAGUUUUUAUUUAUGGAUCAUAGGUUUAAACUCAUACUAUUUAGUAUUUUUUUAAAAAAAAUUUCUGACUAGUUCUUUAAUUGCUUGUUUAUGGUUUUAGCAUUCUUGUAACAUACAUAUUGAUAUAUGGUGAUCUCAUUCUUCUUUUGGAUGAUCUCAUUCUUCUUUUGGAUGGACUCAUACCCUAAGUAAGCGAUCACUUAUGUUUCCUGCUUGCUACUCUAUUUCCUUUGUUGUAUUAUUUGAUAAUUGAAUUUAAAGUUAAUAACUGCAAAAAAUGAUUAUUUAAGAAUAUAUGGGGAACAAGUCUAUCUGCAUAAGGAUGCAAUUGGAUGUUUACGUCAGAGAAGUUGUUUGUUUCUUUUAUUAAUAUGAGAGGUCUAUCUCAUAUUUAUAAAUAGUCUAUAUAAUUUAGAUUGUUAUAUUUGUUUCAUAGAUUUUAGUUUCAUAGAUUUUGAAUAUGAUUCAUCCCCAAAACCAAUUUGUUUUCUUCCACCCUUUAUCUAACAUUAAAAUCAUAUUAUACAGUUUUCCAAUAUCAUUUCAUCAGAAGGUUCAUUUUCCCCUUGAUCUACAUUGAGAUGAAGUUCUUCUUGGAUCUCAUCAAUAUCUUCAUUAUCAUUUUGAUAUUCAACCUCAUUUUCCUCAUUAGAUAUAUUGAUGUAUUUAAAACUAACUGUUGGUGUUUAAUUUGUGGAUCAAAAUUUCAAGCUUGAGUGGAAAUUGAAAUAACAAUACCUCUAACCAGAAUUCAGCAGAGAUAGACUAGUUGAAGUGAGAAAGGGGUUCUUUGGUGGCAACAACUGUGAGAACUAGUGAGAAUUACUGUUGAUGCAUUGAUAUAUCUCUUGGUUGGGAAAGCUCUUCGUUGUAGAUUUUCAAAAUUAAAGCAGAAGCAAAGGAGUGUUUGUGAUUGCUAUCCAACUUUUUAACAAAAGCCUCAUAUAUAUAAUGGAUUUCAAUGAUGAUAAUGAGCUAUUGAGUUCAUUAGUCUAGUUUUUAUUUAUGGGUCAUAGGUUUAAACUCAUACUAUUUAGUAUUUUUUUAAAAAAAUUUCUGACUAGUUCUUUAAUUGCUUGUUUAUGGUUUUAGGAUUCUUGUAACAUGCAUAUUGAUAUGUGGUGAUCUCAUUCUUCUUUUGGAUGGACUCAUACUCUAAGUAAGGGAUCACUUAUGUUUCAUGUUUGCUACUCUAUUUGCUUUGUUGUAUUAUUUGAUAAUUGAUUUUAAAGUUAAUAACUGCAAAAAAUAAUUAUUUAAGAAUAUAUGGGGAACAAGUCUACCUGCAUAAGGAUGUUUACGUCAGAGAAAUUGUUUGUUUCUUUUAGUAAUAUGGGAUGGCCUAUCUCAUACUUAUAAGCAUGGUUUAUUUCUUUUAUUAAUAUGAGAGGCCUAUCUCAUACUUAUAAAUAGUCUAUAUAAUUUAGAUGGUUAUAUUUGUUUAAUAGAUUUUAGUUUCAUAGAUUUUGAAUAUGAUUCAUCCCCAAAACCAAUUUGUUUUCUUCCACACUUUAUCUAACAUUAAAAUCAUAUUAUACUGUUUUCCAAUAUAAUUUCAUCAGAAGGUUCAUUUUCCCCUUGAUCUACAUUGAGAUGAAAUUCUUCUUGGAUCUCAUCAAUAUCUUCAUUAUCAUUUUGAUGUUCAACCUCAUUUUCCUCAUUAUCAUUUUGAUGUUCAAUCUUAUUUUUCUUAUUAGAUAUAUUGAUCUCAUUUUCCUCAUUAGAUAUAUUGAUGUAUUUAAAACUAACUGCUGGUGUUUAAUUUGUGGAUCAAAAUUUCAAGCUUGAGAGGAAAUUGACAUAACAAUACCUCUAACCAGAAUUCAGCAGAGAUAGACUAGUUGAAGUGAGAAAGGGGUUCAUUGGUAGCAACAACUGUGAGAACUAAAUUCAGCAAAGAUAGACUAGUUGGAGUGAGAAAGGGGUUCUUUGGUGGCAACAACUGUGGGAACUACUGUUGAUGCAUUGAUGUAUCUCUUAAAAGUAACCACUGGUGUUUAAUUUGUGGAUAAAAAUUUCAAGCUUGAGAGGAAAUUGACAUAACAAUAUCUAUAACCAGAAUUCAGCAGAGAUAGACUAGUUGAAGUGAGAAAGGGGUUCUUUGGUGGCAAGAACUGUGAGAACUAGUGAGAAUUAUUGUUGAUGCAUUGAUGUAUCUCUUGGUUGGGAAAGCUCUUCGAUGUAGAUUUUCAAAAAUAAAGCAGAAGCAAAAGAGUGUUUGUGGUUGCUAUCCAACUUUUUAACAAAAGCCUCAUACAUAUAAUGGAUUUCAAUGAUGAUAAUGAGUUAUUGAGUUCAUUAGUAUAGUUUUUAUUUAUGGAUCAUAGGUUUAAACUCAUACUAUUUAGUAUUUUUUUAAAAAAAUUUCUGACUAGUUCUUUAAUUGCUUGUUUAUGGUUUUAGGACUCUUGUAACAUGCAAAUUGAUAUGUGGUGAUCUCAUUCUUCUUUUGGAUGGACUCAUAUUUAUUAGCUUUUUAAUUUGUUUUCCUUCUUUAAUUCUAAUUCUUGGACCUAUUAGGCUUCCCUAAAUAAGAGAUAACUUAUGUUUCCUGUUUGCUACUCUAUUUGCUUUGUUGUAUUAUUUGAUAAUUAAUUUUAAAGUUAAUAACUGCAAAAAAAUGAUUAUUUAAGAAUAUAUGGGGAAUAAAUCUACCUCUAUAAGGAUGCAAUUGAAUGUUUACGUCAGAGAAAUGGUUUGUUUCUUUUAGUAAUAUGGGAUGGCCUAUCUCAUACUUAUAAGCAUAGUUUGUUUCUUUUAUUAAUAUGAGAGACCUAUCUCAUACUUAUAAGUAGUCUAUAUAAUUUAGAUGGUUAUAUUUUCUUAUUGAUUUAUAUUCAAAUUAUUAUUGAUAUAUUUAUAAUGUAAUUUUAUUUUGUUGUAUUAAAAAUUUGUCUAUCACUCAUUUAUUCAAAAAAUUUUUUUUACUAGAAAUUUCAUUUUCUUUUAAAUUUCUUGUUGAUUUAUUUAAACUAAUAUUUUUCAAAGCUUUUAAAAAGAAUUUAUAUAAAAUUUCUUU